rnacentral:rRNA from 1 species
ACGGCUCAGUAACACGUGGACAACCUGCCCAAAGGUCCGGGAUAACCCCGGGAAACUGGGGAUAAUACCGGAUAAAUCACAGGUACUGGAAGGUCUUGUGGUUGAAACUUCCGGGGCCUUUGGAUGGGUCUGCGGCGGAUUAGGUUGUUGCCGGUGUAACGUACCGUCAAGCCUGUAAUCCGUACGGGUUGUGGGAGCAAGAGCCCGGAGAUGGAUUCUGAGACACGAAUCCAGGCCCUACGGGGCGCAGCAGGCGCGAAAACCCUACAAUGCAGGCAACUGCGAUAGGGGAACAUCGAGUGAUACUCAUAUUGGGUGUCUGUCCCACCGUCUAAAAAACGGUGGUUAGCAAGGGCCGGGCAAGACCGGUGCCAGCCGCCGCGGUAAUACCGGCGGCUCGAGUGGUGGCCGAUAUUAUUGAGUCUAAAGGGUCCGUAGCCGGCUUUGCAAGUCUUUUGGGAAAUCCAGCGGCUUAACCGUUGGUCGUCCGGGAGAUACUACAUUGCUUGGGACUGGGAAAGGUAGGAGGUACUCAGGGGGUAGGAGUGAAAUCCUGUAAUCCUUUGGGGACCACCGGUGGCGAAGGCGUCCUACCAGAACAGGUCCGACGGUGAGGGACGAAAGCUAGGGGCACGAACCGGAUUAGAUACCCGGGUAGUCCUAGCCGUAAACGAUGCUCGCUAGGUGUCACAACAAUCGUGAAUUGUUGUGGUGCCGUAGGGAAGCCGUGAAGCGAGCCACUUGGGAAGUACGACCGCAAGGUUGAAACUUAAAGGAAUUGGCGGGGGAGCACA